GGCAACUUGGCUCAGUUGGUAGAGCGACACCUUGAAGCGGUGUGCGUCGGUGGUUCGAUUCCAUCAGUUGCCA
rnacentral:tRNA from 1 species